AACGAACGCUGGCGGCAGGCCUAACACAUGCAAGUCGAGCGAGGACUUCGGUUCUAGCGGCGGACGGGUGAGUACCGCGUGGGAAUGUGCCCUUCUCUACGGAAUAGCCCUGGGAAACUGGGAGUAAUACCGUAUACGCCCUAUUGGGGAAAGAUUUAUCGGUGAAGGAUCAGCCCGCGUUGGAUUAGGUAGUUGGUGGGGUAAUGGCCUACCAAGCCGUCGAUCCAUAGCUGGUUUGAGAGGAUGAUCAGCCACACUGGGACUGAGACACGGCCCAGACUCCUACGGGAGGCAGCAGUGGGGAAUCUUAGACAAUGGGGGCAACCCUGGUCUAGCCAUGCCGCGUGAGUGAUGCAGGCCUUAGGGUUGUAAAGCUCUUUCAGCUGGGAAGAUAAUGACGGUACCAGCAGAAGAAGCCCCGGCUAACUCCGUG
rnacentral:rRNA from 1 species